rnacentral:rRNA from 1 species
CAAUCUACCUUUUACAGAGGGAUAGCCCAGAGAAAUUUGGAUUAAUACCUCAUAGUAUUACGACUCGGCAUCGAGAUGUAAUUAAAGUCACAACGGUAAAAGAUGAGCAUGCGUCCCAUUAGCUAGUUGGUAAGGUAACGGCUUACCAAGGCUACGAUGGGUAGGGGUCCUGAGAGGGAGAUCC